rnacentral:lncRNA from 1 species
AGAAAGAAAGAAAGAAAAAAGAAAAUAGAGCAGUGAUACCUACCUCACUGGACUUCUGCAAGGCUUAACACUGAGAUCCUGCUAUGUCCGAGGCACUCUUCCAACCCCAUUGCAUACUGGUUCAUCUAAUAUCUAGUAUAACCUUCCAAGGAGAAACAAGGACUCAUAUCUAGCAGGUGGAAGAACCACGAUUUGAACCUUGGCAGUCUGGCAGCAGAGGCUGAAUCAUUAAUCACUGUCCUAAACCUCUCAUAACUUGGACCUGACUUCUCAGAAGACACCCCCACCUACCUUCACACGAUGCUUUGAGACCCUGGAAAC